rnacentral:lncRNA from 1 species
GUCUUUGAUGCAUGCUGAGAGAACUUUACUUAACGACUUUAGACAAACUCAUCAAAUCCGAAACUGAUUCUAUCCCUUGAUCUACACAUGCAUUCAAAUCAUUCAUUCCUUUUAACAUUCAUUAUUCAAGUAUAUGAAUCUGGUUGUGCAAGGCUUAACAAACUCACUUGGCUAGGCAGAAAAAGGUUUUGAGAAUCAUGAGGGUUUAAACAAUUUCAGGACAAGGAUCUCUCAAUGAAUGGAUUGAGCUUUAGGGAGAAUGCUAAAGGUAAGGACCAACAAAUGCAUACAAGAAUAAAACCUUGACUACCCAAUGGUUCCCAAGUGCUUACUCCUAAUCAUCUAAACCCGGAUGAUCCCUAUGUCUACCCUUCAACAUCAAUCCCAUUUUUUUUCUUUUUGCUUUUUGCCUUCGGAGAAGUUUCUUAUCAAUACUAGUGGAUAUGGGAUUUCUUCUUAACUAUGGUUCUGUUUUCUUCUUACGUUAUAAGACAUCAAAACUUUUUCUCUUUCUUAACAUCCCAGAACCAUUCUCUGUAUAUCAUGCUAACCCCACAAAAAUCAAUCUCUAGAUUAUAAACUUCUAGAAAACAUUCUCCUCCUAAGGAUACAACUUUUUCUGUUUCUCUUCUUUCUUUCCACAAUCAUUCCAAUCCCAAACCCAAGUAAGAAUCCCGACCUAUUCCUAUCUGAUUUGAAAGUGAAAAUCAGAACUACUCAAGAUUUUAAUCCUGUCGGCUCAUACCUAACACGUUCUCCCCAAGCAUAAUCCGGUAAAAGACCUACCACUCAAAAAUUAUCAAUUGGCUUGAAAG